AUUGAACGCUGGCGGCAUGCCUUACACAUGCAAGUCGAACGGUAACGGGCCUUCGGGUGCCGACGAGUGGCGAACGGGUGAGUAAUGUAUCGGAACGUACCUUUCAGUGGGGGAUAACGUAGCGAAAGUUACGCUAAUACCGCAUAUUCUGUGAGCAGGAAAGCAGGGGAUCGCAAGACCUUGCGCUGAUUGAGCGGCCGAUAUCAGAUUAGCUAGUUGGUGAGGUAAAGGCUCACCAAGGCGACGAUCUGGAGCGGGUCUGAGAGGAUGAUCCGCCACACUGGAACUGAGACGCGGUCCAGACUCCUACGGGAGGCAGCAGUGGGGAAUUUUGGACAAUGGGGGCAACCCUGAUCCAGCCAUGCCGCGUGAGUGAAGAAGGCCUUCGGGUUGUAAAGCUCUUUCGGCCGGGAAGAAAUCGUAUCAGCUAAUACCUGGUGCGGAUGACGGUACCGGCAUAAGAAGCACCGGCUAACUACGUGCCAGCAGCCGCAGUAACAC
rnacentral:rRNA from 1 species